UUACGACCAUACCACGUUCAAACAUCGAUUCCCGUACGAUCACCGGUUAAGCAACGUCUAGACUGGUCAGUACCAAGAUAGGUCAGCACUUGGGAAUACCAGGUGCUGUAAG